rnacentral:rRNA from 1 species
CCUACGGGGGGCAGCAGUGGGGAAUUUUCCGCAAUGGGCGAAAGCCUGACGGAGCAACGCCGCGUGAUCGAAUGAAGGCCUUCGGGUUGUAAAGAUCUGUUGAUAGGGACGAAUAAGCAAUGCGAAUAGUUUUGUGUAUGACGGUACCCAAGGAAUAAGCCCCGGCUAACUACGUGCCAGCAGCCGCGGUAAUACGUAAGGGGCAAGCGUUGUUCGGAAUGACUGGGCGUAAAGGGUGUGUAGGCGGUGUAGCAAGUUAGAAGGGAAAUACCUAGGGCUUAACUCAGGUGCUGCUUCUAAAACUGCUAUACUUGAGUGCAGUAGAGGAAAGUGGAAUUCCUAGUGUAGCGGUGGAAUGCGUAGAUAUUAGGAGGAACAUCAGUGGCGAAGGCGACUUUCUGGACUGUAACUGACGCUGAGGCACGAAAGUGUGGGGAGCAAACAGGAUUAGAUACCCCAGUACUC